rnacentral:rRNA from 1 species
GCUUACGGCCAUACCAGCCUGGGUACACAUGAUCUCGUCUGAUCUCGGAAGCUAAGCAUAGUCGGGCCUGGUUAGUACUUGGAUGGGAGACCGCCUGGGAAUACCAGGUGCUGUAAGCA